rnacentral:rRNA from 1 species
UACGUAGGGGGCAAGCGUUGUCCGGAAUUAUUGGGCGUAAAGCGCGUGUAGGCGGCCAGAUAAGUCCGCUGUGAAAUCUCGAGGCUCAACUUCGAGCUGUCGGUGGAAACUGUCUGGCUAGAGUCCGGAAGAGGAGAAUGGAAUUCCUGGUGUAGCGGUGGAAUGCGCAGAUAUCAGGAGGAACACCAACGGCGAAGGCAGCUCGCUGGGACGUUACUGACGCUGAGACGCGAAAGCGUGGGGAGCAAACAGG